AUAUGCUCCAUGAAUGAUAAUUUGUAGUAUUGAAAACAGGUGAGACAAGAGAUAUGGCAACAUUCUCAUUGGGGUGAAGGUAAAGAUGCAAAUGUGUAUAAUUUUGAAUGGGGGAAAAUGUAUCAGCGUUAGCCAUUGAAGAAAAAGAAAGGUAGGACAACGAGAACAAGAAUGCAGAAACAAGAACAGGGGUGCAGAAAUCAGAGAGCAGUAGAAAUUUAUACCAUCAUAGAUUUACAAUGCAGCAAAGAAAGAGAAAAAGGAAAAAACUUUAUUGAUUAAGUCUAAAGAGGUACAAACGAGGAAAUAUAUAGGGAGGAGACAGUACAGAAAAGACAGGACAAACAAUAAACCGAGCAGUCCAUGAAAGAAAGACCAAACAAUAUGUUGUGUCUUCACAAGACCAAACGGUCAAGUGACUAGUGUACUAAGUCAACAUAGCCAAGUGGUUGAGGUUAGUGAAACCGAACGGUGUAGAGAAGCAGCACGAGACUGAA
rnacentral:lncRNA from 1 species